UACGUAGGGUGCAAGCGUUGUCCGGAAUUAUUGGGCGUAAAGAGCUCGUAGGCGGUCUGUCGCGUCUGCUGUGAAAACUCAGGGCUUAACCCUGAGCUUGCAGUGGGUACGGGCAGACUAGAGUGCGGUAGGGGAGACUGGAAUUCCUGGUGUAGCGGUGAAAUGCGCAGAUAUCAGGAGGAACACCGGUGGGCGAAGGCGGGUCUCUGGGCCGUAACUGACGCUGGAG
rnacentral:rRNA from 1 species